rnacentral:misc_RNA from 1 species
UGUGGGAGCUGGCUUGCCUGCGAUAUCGGUGGGUCAGCAACCCACCUGUUGACUGAUACACCGCUAUCGCAGGCAAGCCAGCUCCCACA